UACAAGCUACGAUGUUCGUAUUUCAUUAAGUUUUAACCUCUAAAUGAAAUAUAGGGAGUUUUAUAUCGGAGCUCUAAUGUCGAGCCGCCAUGGUAGAGCGGAAGGCAGGAAAGCUUCUGCAAACACCCACUUGGUGAAGUGGUGGUUUAAAACUUUUUAUUUCAAAUACGGCAUAUGUGGCUAUUGA
rnacentral:other from 1 species